UACGAAGGGGGCUAGCGUUGUUCGGAUUUACUGGGCGUAAAGCGCACGUAGGCGGAUCUUUAAGUCAGGGGUGAAAUGCCGGAGCUCAACUUCGGAACUGCCUUUGAUACUGGAGAUCUUGAGUUCGAGAGAGGUGAGUGGAACUGCGAGUGUAGAGGUGAAAUUCGUAGAUAUUCGCAAGAACACCAGUGGCGAAGGCGGCUCACUGGCUCGAUACUGACGCUGAGGUGCGAAAGCGUGGGGAG
rnacentral:rRNA from 1 species